rnacentral:rRNA from 1 species
UACUAGAGUAGCACUCGCAUAUCAAUAAGCGGAGGAAAAGAAACUAACUAGGAUUCCCUUAGUAACGGCGAGUGAAGCGGGAAGAGCUCAAAUUUGAAAUCUUCAAGGUUUUACCUUGACGAAUUGUAGUUUAAAGAAGUGUUUUCUGUUGGUAGUUUUGGUAAAAGUUCUUUGGAAUAGGACAUCAUAGAGGGUGAGAAUCCCGUAUUUGACCAUUACUUCCAGCGUUGUGAUACACUUUCAAAGAGUCGGAUUGUUUGGGAAUGCAGUCCAAAAUGGGUGGUAAAUUUCAUCUAAAGCUAAAUAUUGGCGAGAGACCGAUAGCGAACAAGUACCGUGAGGGAAAGAUGAAAAGAACUUUGAAAAGAGAGUUAAACAGUACGUGAAAUUGUCAAAAGGGAAGCGUUUGACACCAGUGUUGUUUUCUCGAAAAUCAAUUAAAAAGAGUUGGAUUUUGUAUUGUUAAGACCUUAUCAGCUUACUGUACUUUUUUCUUGCUCUUUUUAAUGCACUUUUCGUUUAACAAGUCAACAUCAAUUUCUUUUGUUGUAAAAGGGUCAUUGGAAGGUGGCUUUCACUUCGGUGAAAGUGUUUAUAGCCUUUGGCCUCUGCAAUCGGAGAGAUUGAGGUCUGCAGCGUAGAUCCUUCGGAGUUAGAUACGUAGAUGCUAAGUUAUAGUUUUUUAUAGACAACUUGUUGACUAUGAUUAAUCAUGUAGCUUACUCGUUUGCGCUAUUUUACCUACGCUUAGGAUGUUGAUAGUCACAGCGUGUAC